rnacentral:lncRNA from 1 species
AGCUGCACCCAGGAGAUCUUGGAGGAGAUGUUCUGUGGCUUCAACUCUUCCAACUCCCUAGACAAUGAUCGGUGCACCAGGCAAACAAGGAGCAGUGCUGUUCUGAGUGAUGAUGCGGGACCCCACUCUGGGCGGAACUGUGGUGCCCCCGGGUUCCACCGCUGCCUGGUGGCCACUCUGCGUCCGCAGACCUUCGGAGGCACUCGUGCUCCGGAUCUGGCUCGCAGCGACCCGACUCUCCUGCUCUCCCCAGUAGCCCAGUACUCCCACUCUCCCCAGUACCCCAACCCUCCCACUCUCCUAAGUACCCCAACCCUCCCACUCUCCUAAGUACCCCAACCCUCCCACUCUCCCCAGUACCUCCACUCUCCCACUCUCCCCAGUACCCCAACCCUCCCACUCUCCCCAGUACCCCAACCCUCCCACUCUCCCCAGUAUCCCAGUACUCCCACUCUCCCCAGUAUCCCAGUACUCCCACUCUCCCCAGUACCCCAGUACUCCCACUCUCCCCAGUACCCCAACCCUCCCACUCUCCCCAGUACCCCAACCCUCCCACUUUCCCCAGUACCCCAGUGCGUAAAGAGGAGGCGCUCACACAGCGACAGGUCACAGGGACACUCGCUGGCCGGCCCACCCACCACCAUCUCUGCGCCGGCCCCAGGCUGGGAGACGUCACCCCCGAGCAUCAGGUGGGCAGUUCCCCGGAGUCCCUGGGUCCCCCGCCCGUGUGCUCCUGAUACCGGGGUGGGAGCGCUCUGUGACCCCAGCGUGACGGUGUGUCCUGGGACAGUGGCUGGGAAGGUGGACUGUAGGUGGGCAGGGGACAGACAGGCAGCGAGGGCCUGUGUGUGAUGCUCCAGCCCAGCCUGUGCCCCUCGGGGCUACGGGGUUGUCUCCGGCUCCAGUCAGACAGAGGGGCACCUGCCCACGGGGAGCACCCGGACGCAUGUGUCCUCGGAAGGUUCUCACGUGCCGUCAUUCUUGGAUGUGUUUGGAUUGCGGCACGAUGCAGGAGGACCCGGAGACCCUGCUGGUCUUGCAAAGGGCCAAUAUCGUGGCCCAGUACCAUCAGGGACAAGGAGCUGCCCAGCCCCAGCCCCCCCGAGGCCAAGAAACUCCACCAGGAGACCCGGCGCGCGGACAAAUGGAUAAAAAUGCUCAAGCGAUGGGACCACUACCUCCCCAGCGAGAAGCUGCAGUGCCGGGUCUACAAGAGGGUCCCGCCCCAGGUGCGGGGACAGGUGUGGCUGCGAUUGCUGAACAU